rfam:Culex pipiens quinquefasciatus supercont3.67 genomic scaffold, whole genome shotgun sequence.
GGCUUCGUGGCUUAAUGGUUACGGCUUCUGCCUAACAAGCAGAAGGUUCAGGGAUCAAAUCCCGGUCGGUACCU